rnacentral:rRNA from 1 species
UACGUAGGGUGCGAGCGUUAAUCGGAAUUACUGGGCGUAAAGCGUGCGCAGGCGGUUUUGUAAGCCAGAUGUGAAAGCCCCGGGCUUAACCUGGGAAUGGCAUUUGGGACUGCAAGGCUUGGAGUGCGGCAGAGGAGACUGGAAUUCCUGGUGUAGCAGUGAAAUGCGUAGAUAUCAGGAGGAAUACCGAUGGCGAAGGCAGGUCUCUGGGCUGACACUGACGCUCAU